AUUGAACGCUGGCGGCAGGCCUAACACAUGCAAGUCGAACGAGUCUCGGACGUGUGAGUAAUUUCUGGGAAACUGCCUGAUGGAGGGUGAUAACUACUGGAAACUGUAGCUAAUACCGCAUCCCCUCAGAUUUCCCCCGUUUGGAUUAGCUUGUUGGUGGGGUAACGGCUCACCAAGGCGACGAUCCCUAGCUGGUCUGAGAGGAUGACCAGCCACACUGGAACUGAGACAGGGCCCAGACGCUUACGGGAGGCAGCAGUUGGGAAUUUUGGACAAUGGGGGCAACCCUGAUCCAGCCAUGCCGCGUGUAUGAAGAAGGCCUUCGGGUUGUAAAGUACUUUCAGCGGGGAGGCGUUACCCGAAGAAGAAGCACCGGCUAACUCCGUGCCAGCAGCCGCGGUAAUUG
rnacentral:rRNA from 1 species